rnacentral:rRNA from 1 species
UUCUUCGGAUGAAAAUCCUGGUGACUGAGUGGCGGACGGGUGAGUAACGCGUGGGUAACCUGCCUCAUACAGGGGGAUAACAGUUAGAAAUGACUGCUAAUACCGCAUAAGCGCACAGUACUGCAUGGUACAGUGUGAAAAACUCCGGUGGUGUGAGAUGGACCCGCGUCUGAUUAGCCAGUUGGCGGGGUAACGGCCCACCAAAGCGACGAUCAGUAGCCGGCCUGAGAGGGUGAACGGCCACAUUGGGACUGAGACACGGCCCAGACUCC